rnacentral:rRNA from 1 species
GAUUGAACGCUGGCGGCAUGCCUUACACAUGCAAGUCGAACGGCAGCACGGGAGCAAUCCUGGUGGCGAGUGGCGAACGGGUGAGUAAUACAUCGGAACGUGCCCAGUAGUGGGGGAUAACCCGGCGAAAGCCGGACUAAUACCGCAUACGACCUAUGGGUGAAAGCGGGGGAUCGCAAGACCUCGCGCUAUCGGAGCGGCCGAUGUCAGAUUAGCUUGUUGGCGGGGUAAAAGCCCACCAAGGCGACGAUCUGUAGCUGGUCUGAGAGGACGACCAGCCACACUGGGACUGAGACACGGCCCAGACUCCUACGGGAGGCAGCAGUGGGAAUUUUGGACAAUGGGCGCAAGCCUGAUCCAGCCAUGCCGCGUGCGGGAAGAAGGCC